CAGCUUUCCUUUUGGCAGUUUGUUAAAUUUUGUUAUGGUUUACAAAACCGUACAGAAAUCACCGAUCUUGGUAUUCCGUACUGCUAUAAAAACAUUUCUAUUACUCUGGAGUGCUAGCAUCAUUGAAGCUUUCAUUCCAAUAUCUAACAUUUGACUAUUAAUGAGACAGACUUUUUCUAAAAUCUGUACUGAUAUUUUGCAAUCAAAGACAUUGAAGACAAUGUAAAAGCACACUUUAUCUUCAGGAGAAAUAUUGUGAAUGAAGCUAUCUUAAACUCUUAAAGAGCUGUAUGUUUGGGGCUAUGUAUUUUACCUUUUCUCUUUUAUAGAGUUAUUUGAAAAUGUUUUUGUCUUGAAGUAACCUCUCCCUGAUCCUUUUUUGAUCGAAUACCAGUGCAAGGGUAGGACUUAUUUUAAUAGCGUCUGAAGUUUUUAAGAGGUGGAAAUUUGUCUAUACAAUUUAUAUUUAUGUACUACUGCAUUUUACAACAAUAAUUAUAUAUUGUUAAUGAGCGCAUAGGAGAAAAUUCACCCUUUUUCUUGAGGUAAACAGUAUAGGCAUGUGCCCGUGUGUUAAGUAAGUUUUUGUGCUCAAAUCCAUAUACAAUUGUCUGAAACGCUUUAACAAAUAUUAUGACAGUAAAAGCAUCUUGACUACAACUCAAGAAACCUGGAUUGUUUUCCUGCAAUAACCACUGAUUCUCCUUAAGUCACUUCAUUUCCAUAUCUUGAAAACAGGAUAAUAUAUUUGUUGCCUCUUGUGAAGAGCUUUGAGAUCUACAAGUAAUUGUCAUGUAAACAUCGUGUUACUACUACAAUGGACAGUGUUCUCCAAGGACAUGAAGAGAGAAGUACAGAAGGUGCUGGGAGAAUGCACUGAUUUCUACAGCUGCAGCUGACCUCUUAUCUUACCAGUAGUAGUUUGCAGCUCAGAAUAUGGUGCUGCUGCUGGUGCUGCCAGUGAGCUCCUGCCAGUUGGAAGAAAGUAGCGCCCCUGUGUCUGCUCUCUUUAGUGCUGCUUGGACCUGCUGCUUCAGGCAGGUUUCACCCGGCCGGUCCUGUGGGGAAUGCAUCUUGAUCAGAGCUGUGGAAGAAGUGAGUGAAGUGGUGGCUUCUGCAAGGAAAUGUGCCCUUCACCUCGAGCAGGUACAAUGCCAAACUUCAUGCAAGGGGAAAUGUGCUGAGGCUGUGCAAACACACAGUGUCCUGGGCAAGGAUGUGCACUGCAUAAGAUGAAUCUGCCCUUCACUUCUCUGUGUUGGACUUUCUAUUGAACUAAUUCAUCAUUUGAUUUUUGGCAUCUCAGUAAUUACUGCUGGCAAAAACUACUCAUUUUAGUUGUUGCAAUAUACUGCGAGCACAUUUAACUUUGAUGGAAAGUUUGAAUGACUUUGUUUCAACCACUUGACGGUUCUUUGUGGGCAUUUUUACAAUCAACAGAGCAUUUGUAACCAAGCCUUUGGUGACAGCUGUUAGCUCCAGCAACUCAAUUGCCUUUAGCAGGCAAGGGUAUGAUUUGCUGCUGUUUCCUCUAGUAGCUGAACUUAUUUGGGCCAAGCAUGAGCAAAGGGACAUGCACAGUCUUGAUUUCUCUUGGAUCUGAUUUCCACUGAAUUCUGGUGACCCUUAAGCAACUGUUGUGAUGGACUGAAAUGCCCUGAAACAGAAACUUUACCUCCUCAGCCAGACCAAAAUGUUUAUCAGUAACUUUUCUCCCAUUCCUAAAACUGUUC
ensembl:lncRNA